GACGAACGCUGGCGGCGUGCCUAAUACAUGCAAGUAGAACGCUGAAGGAGGAGCUUGCUUCUCUGGAUGAGUUGCGAACGGGUGAGUAACGCGUAGGUAACCUGCCUGGUAGCGGGGGAUAACUAUUGGAAACGAUAGCUAAUACCGCAUAAGAGUAGAUGUUGCAUGACAUUUGCUUAAAAGGUGCAAUUGCAUCACUACCAGAUGGACCUGCGUUGUAUUAGCUAGUUGGUGGGGUAACGGCUUACCAAGGCGACGAUACAUAGCCGACCUGAGAGGGUGAUCGGCCACACUGGGACUGAGACACGGCCCAGACUCCUACGGGAGGCAGCAGUAGGGAAUCUUCGGCAAUGGACGGAAGUCUGACCGAGCAACGCCGCGUGAGUGAAGAAGGGUUUCGGAUCGUAAAGCUCUGUUGUAAGAGAAGAACGAGUGUGAGAGUGGAAAGUUCACACUGUGACGGUAUCUUACCAGAAAGAGACGGCUAACUACGUG
rnacentral:rRNA from 1 species